AUUUGGUGCCUCGCUCACAUGAACCUCCCUCUACCUCAUACAACGAUUCGCUGUCGGAGUCUGACUCGCUCUCAAGAGCAUGAUUUGCCGAAGUGGUUGCCCUGGGACUAGCUGUGGCAGAACAAAUGCAGCAGAUGGCAGAGCUCCAUGUAUGCCCCUUACCGGAGAUGGACGCCGUCUGCGACGCGACUGGGUUCGCCGGGCGGAUGCUCCCGAACCACCAGCUGUUUCCAUCCAUGGCGCUCUGCACAA